AUUGAACGCUGGCGGCAGGCCUAACACAUGCAAGUCGAACGGUAACAGGAAGAAGCUUGCUUCUUUGCUGACGAGUGGCGGACGGGUGAGUAAUGUCUGGGAAACUGCCUGAUGGAGGGGGAUAACUACUGGAAACGGUAGCUAAUACCGCAUAAUGUCGCAAGACCAAAGAGGGGGACCUUCGGGCCUCUUGCCAUCGGGUGUGCCCAGAUGGGAUUAGCUAGUAGGUGGGGUAACGGCUCACCUAGGCGACGAUCCCUAGCUGGUCUGAGAGGAUGACCAGCCACACUGGAACUGAGACACGGUCCAGACUCCUACGGGAGGCAGCAGUGGGGAAUAUUGCACAAAGGGCGCAAGCCUGAUGCAGCUAUGCCGCGUGUAUGAAGAAGGCCUUCGGGUUGUAAAGUACUUUCAGCGGGGAGGAAGGGAGUAAAGUUAAUACCUUUGCUCAUUGACGUUACCCGCAGAAGAAGCACCGGCUAACUCCGUG
rnacentral:rRNA from 1 species